rnacentral:rRNA from 1 species
AUGCAUAAGCUCGUAAAUGUUCAUUAUUUGGACAAGUCAACAUUUAUGCUUGGAAAUGACGAUGAAGGGGAAGAGGCUAUGGUUUUUGACACAAGUCCAAGCUUUGAUGAUCUUGUAGUUAAAGUGAGAAGCGUUUUACAUUGGAAUGACUCAAAUGCCAUGGUUAAGCUUAUUGGGAGGUAUGACGUUGGAUUGGGAGUAAAGUUCCGAUUAAAGAGUAUGCCCAUCACCUCCCAAUUGCAUUGGAAUGUGUACAAGGAAAAAGUAGACGCAUCACAAGACAGGUCUCUUGAGAUCUUUGCCACAAAGGUUGAUCCUCCUCCUCCUUUGCAAAUUGAUCUCAACCGCAAUGCAUCCUCCCCCAUACAUGAUGAUAGUGCCAAGGUGUAUGUCCCCAAUUGUUCUAGCCAACGACCAAGUAGCCAACCCAAUGAAGAUCAUAUCAAUGCUAGCGCCAUAGUACUCCGUCAUGAUGCUAUUCCUCAUGUUGAAGAAGAUGAUAUUCCUCAUGUUGAAGAAGAUGCUAGUGUUCAUGUUGAUGAUGAUGCUAUUGUUGCUUAA